rnacentral:rRNA from 1 species
UACGUAGGGCGCAAGCGUUAUCCGGAAUUAUUGGGCGUAAAGAGCUCGUAGGCGGUUUGUCGCGUCUGCCGUGAAAGUCCGGGGCUUAACUCCGGAUCUGCGGUGGGUACGGGCAGACUAGAGUGAUGUAGGGGGAGACUGGAAUUCCUGGUGUAGCGGUGAAAUGCGCAGAUAUCAGGAGGAACACCGAUGGCGAAGGCAGGUCUCUGGGCAUUAACUGACGCUGAGGAGCGAAAGCAUGGGGAGCGAACAGG